rnacentral:rRNA from 1 species
CAUGCAAGUCGAGCGGAUGAGAGGAGCUUGCUCCUUGAUUUAGCGGCGGACGGGUGAGUAAUGCCUAGGAAUCUGCCUGGUAGUGGGGGAUAACGUUCCGAAAGGAACGCUAAUACCGCAUACGUCCUACGGGAGAAAGCAGGGGACCUUCGGGCCUUGCGCUAUCAGAUGAGCCUAGGUCGGAUUAGCUAGUUGGUGAGGUAAUGGCUCACCAAGGCGACGAUCCGUAACUGGUCUGAGAGGAUGAUCAGUCACACUGGAACUGAGACACGGUCCAGACUCCUACGGGAGGCAGCAGUGGGGAAUAUUGGACAAUGGGCGAAAGCCUGAUCCAGCCAUGCCGCGUGUGUGAAGAAGGUCUUCGGAUUGUAAAGCACUUUAAGUUGGGAGGAAGGGCAUUAACCUAAUACGUUAGUGUUUUGACGUUACCGACAGAAUAAGCACCGGCUAACUUCGUGCCAGCAGCCGCGGUAAUACGAAGGGUGCAAGCGUUAAUCGGAAUUACUGGGCGUAAAGCGCGCGUAGGUGGUUCGUUAAGUUGGAUGUGAAAGCCCCGGGCUCAACCUGGGAACUGCAUCCAAAACUGGCGAGCUAGAGUACGGUAGAGGGUGGUGGAAUUUCCUGUGUAGCGGUGAAAUGCGUAGAUAUAGGAAGGAACACCAGUGGCGAAGGCGACCACCUGGACUGAUACUGACACUGAGGUGCGAAAGCGUGGGGAGCAAACAGGAUUAGAUACCCUGGUAGUCCACGCCGUAAACGAUGUCAACUAGCCGUUGGGUUCCUUGAGAACUUAGUGGCGCAGCUAACGCAUUAAGUUGACCGCCUGG